GAUGAACGCUGGCGGCGUGCUUAACACAUGCAAGUCGAGCGAUGAAGUUUCCUUCGGGAAACGGAUUAGCGGCGGACGGGUGAGUAACACGUGGGUAACCUGCCUCAUAGAGUGGAAUAGCCUUUCGAAAGGAAGAUUAAUACCGCAUAAUGUUGAAAGAUGGCAUCAUCAUUCGACCAAAGGAGCAAUCCGCUAUGAGAUGGACCCGCGGCGCAUUAGCUAGUUGGUGGGGUAACGGCCUACCAAGGCGACGAUGCGUAGCCGACCUGAGAGGGUGAUCGGCCACAUUGGGACUGAGACACGGCCCAGACUCCUACGGGAGGCAGCAGUGGGGAAUAUUGCACAAUGGGGGAAACCCUGAUGCAGCAACGCCGCGUGAGUGAUGAAGGUUUUCGGAUCGUAAAGCUCUGUCUUUGGGGAAGAUAAUGACGGUACCCAAGGAGGAAGCCACGGCUAACUACGUGCCAGCCGCCGCGGUAAGAC
rnacentral:rRNA from 1 species